rnacentral:tRNA from 1 species
UGCCCAGAGACGGAAUCGAACCGCCGACACGGGGAUUUUCAAUCCCCUGCUCUACCGACUGAGCUAUCUGGGC